rnacentral:rRNA from 1 species
AUGGGCCGCACCGCCGGUUCCUCGUCGAGGCAGAAGAGGAAGAGCGCGGGAGGUGGUGACGAAGAGGGCGAGCUCGUUCGUCCGAGGGCGUCUUAUUCAGGCGUUGUGGUUGCAUCGGCCGCCAUUCCCCUGGCGGCGAAACAAGCGGCGGCUCCUCCUCUCGUGCUGCCGAUAAAACAGGACGCGGUUGCGGUUGCACCGCGGGCUUCACCUCCCGCGCAGCACCAAUCACCCCGGCGGCGCGUCACCAACAGCGCACUACCCCAGCCGGCCGCCGUCGACGGUGCCACCGCGGCCAACAAUGCCGUCAUCGUCGGGGCUUCGAGCGCCACUGCUUCACCGCCUUCCAUCAACGGUGCCACACCCGCUUCCCCACCGUUUCCGUGGGCGACCAACCGUGCCGCCAUACAUCACCCGGUCUCCUAUCUCUUCGAGCGGGGCAUCACCACCGUGGAGGGUGAGGUCAAGUGCAAACGCUGCGACGUCCUGAAGACGGUCUCCUACAACAUCGCCGUCAAGUUCAGGGAGGUCCGCGACUUCGUGUCCCGCAACAUCCACGACAUGGACGACCGUGCACCUAAAGCGUGGAUGACCCCCGCUGUGCCGGACUGUGACGGGUGCGGACAGAGGAACAGCCUGCGUCCGGUGAUACCGAAGGAAAAGGAGAGGAUAAAUUGGGUGUUUCUGCUGCUGGGGCAGACGCUUGGGCUAUGCUCGCUGGAACAGCUCAAGUAUUUCUGUGCGUGCACAGGUCAACACCGCACCGGCGCCAAGGACAGGGUGCUCUACUCCACCUACAUGGAGCUUUGCAGCCAGCUCUGCCCUGACAGGCUCUUCAACCUGACCGCGGAGAGGCAGAAGAGGGGUCAGCAGUAUUCCUGA